rnacentral:rRNA from 1 species
AACGAACGCUGGCGGCAUGCCUAACACAUGCAAGUCGAACGAGACCUUCGGGUCUAGUGGCGCACGGGUGCGUAACGCGUGGGAAUCUGCCCUUGGGUUCGGAAUAACAGUUGGAAACGACUGCUAAUACCGGAUGAUGACGUAAGUCCAAAGAUUUAUCGCCCAAGGAUGAGCCCGCGUAGGAUUAGCUAGUUGGUGAGGUAAAGGCUCACCAAGGCGACGAUCCUUAGCUGGUCUGAGAGGAUGAUCAGCCACACUGGGACUGAGACACGGCCCAGACUCCUACGGGAGGCAGCAGUGGGGAAUAUUGGACCAUGGGCGAAAGCCUGAUCCAGCAAUGCCGCGUGAGUGAUGAAGGCCUUAGGGUUGUAAAGCUCUUUUACCCGGGAUGAUAAUGACAGUACCGGGAGAAUAAGCUCCGGCUAACUCCGUG